rnacentral:tRNA from 1 species
GAGAGGGUUUAACUANGCUGCUAACCCGGUACCCCAAAAUUAACCACUUGGCCCUCUUUA